AUCUAUGGCCAUGCCACCUCGUCUGAUCUCGGAAGCUAAGCAGGGUCGGGCCUGGUUAGUACUUGGAUGGGAGACCACCUAGGAAGACCAGGUGCCGUAGGUG
rnacentral:rRNA from 1 species